GCGCUGGUGCGUGUAAGCAGCACGGCCCGGCUUCCAGUUGGGCGGUCCAGGUGCAAGCCCUGGCCGGCGCUC
rnacentral:tRNA from 1 species